rnacentral:lncRNA from 1 species
AUUUCUUUCCAGAAGGGGUUGUUGGGCGUUGGAAUGGGCUGCCCAGGGAGGUGGUGGAGUCCCCAUCCCUGGAGGGGUUGAAGAGUCGGGUUGACAUAGAGCUGAGGGACCUGGUGUAGUUGGAAACUGCCAAUGCUGGGUUAAUGGUUGGACUGGAUGAUCUUCAAGGUCCUUUCCAACCUAGNAUAUGCAGGAGACCUCAGCUUCCUAAACAAAACCCUCUUUUUUAUUCCAGCCCCGUGACGCUCACUGCACGUGCCCUCCAGGUUACUGGAGGUCCGUAGGUGAUGGAAGACACUGUGUCAGACAAGCAUAUGAUAUUUGCCGAGAUCCAGCCUCCCGAAAUCAGGAGGGACAGUGUUUAACCAAGAAAGGAUGGGUUCAUUAUUGCUCGGAGAAGGUUUGUACUGUCCCCAGAGAUUAUCAAGGCUAUGACAAGGUUCUUGGCCUCUGCAUUUGUCAACCUGACAGUCUGGAGAGCGUGUGUAAUUCUCAAUGUAGAAGGCAACAAAGAGACACUCUGCAGGUCACCUGUACAGAGAAAAACGCCCAGCUCUUAUUCACUUACAGAAAUGGGAGCAAGACUGCUGUUUUCUUAGAAGAAUUAAGAACAGUUCUACUAAGACCAUAUUUCUCUUUAAAAGACGUCUGCACCUCAGAACAAAGCACACAUACCCAUCCAACAUACAUCGUGAAAAUGAGUGGGAAAGGAUUUUUAGGAGUGUACAAUCCUGACCCACAACUAUUUCACAACUUCAUGAUGCUAAAUGAGGCUUCCUCACAUCACAGAAACAGGCAUUCUUCAGGAACAACUCCAGUUAAGUCUGGCCAUGAAGAACACGGGGUACAAAGCCUGAGACCUUCAAACUCCACAUCGAAAAUCACAUUUACUGGCAUCUUAAAUCCUACCACGUGCAUUAAUGUUAAUGUUACUGUCAUGUUCAUUGUCUCCAAGGAGCACUACCCAGUUUAUGAUGUAAACAACCUGUACAAUACAAAUGCUGAGUUUGACUGGGGAGACUUUCGAAGCCUCAAAGAAGAAAUAAGAGAGGCCUCCCAAGAAUUCCUCUUCUUCCUUUUCCAGUUCCAGAACGCUGGUACCUACGUGCUACGGCUAAGUAGCAAUCAACACAAAAAAAUGUACAUUAGGGUGAUGCCACUUGGAGGACAGUGUUAUGAAGAGGGGCCAUUCUUCCCCACAACACCCAGAUAUGUUGUACAGGUGGGCAUCGCAAAAAAACAAGACCUCCUACUGAAACCUGACUGGACAGCCAUUAUUGGAGUAAUCACAGGACUUCUCAUAUUGCUUAUUGCCUCUGUGGCAUUGACACUUCUUUGUCGGGGACUUAGCUGGGUGCAGAAAGGCACUACCUGCCCUCCAUUUCGACGGCAGCAGUUGAAGUAUAAUCUGGACAGCUAUUCCUCCAACAUAUCAAGACUCUUUUCCAUUAAAAAAUGUCACCCCUCGCUGCAGAACAAAGCCUGCUUCCUGAAGAGGGGUGAUGUUUGGGAGCCUGAAGAACAGAUAGAUCUUGAGUCAUUUAAUACCAAUGUUUUCUUUGAACUUCUGCUGAGACAGUCACUAGCCGUCACAACCAAACUGGGUCAUUUCAAAGAAGAGGUAAAAACUACAUAUCACAAGCUUACAAGUGAAAUAUCUUCAUUGAAAAACCUUUGGAUAAAGACACUGAGUAUCCCAGAAGAGAUGGAGGCUUAUGAGAGCACAAUAACAGAGGCUUACCUAAAAGCAAAACAGCAGGCAGAAGAAGAAAUGCAGCAAAGGAAACAGUUGGCUGCUGAGUAUGAGGAAAGUGUGAACAAACAGCUGCACUUAUUACAGCAUGAUCUGAAAUGUCAGGAAGAGCAUUGUGUCAUGUUCAAUUCUGUCUUGCGAGAGGCGGUGAGAGUGGCAGAGAUGCUGACAAGUAAGGUGGCUUGUAAAGGAAACCAAACAAUGCUGCCCCAGCCAGACUGUACAAGCCUGUUAGCCCAGAUAGAUGCUGCAAGCAGCCAGAUGUCAAGCAUAAUCAUAAAGGAGAGCCAUCGCCUCAAAGCAUGGGGAGUGCUGGGUGAAGGAAUGGGAGCUCACCUUCUUAACAAAGAUCAAACCAGGAUACUUACCAAGCAGGAGCUAAUGGACUCAAACGGCACUUCCCGAGCACCCGACGUUGUCUGCACGGAUCCUGUCACCGGAUUGUUGACUCCCUACCCACGCUGCACCAUGCUGCUGACAAGUCAGUGCCCUGGGCCAGUACCCACCAAUUCUUUUUUGCAUCCUGAGACUGGAAAGGUGCUUCACAUAGCUGGUAACAUCGGGUAUGAUCCCAUCAGAUCCAGGCUGGUCUGUGCUGUUGAUUCUGCUUCAGGAGAAGUUAUACCUCUAGGCGGGCUGGUGGGUCCUUCUGGAAAUCUAAUGCUUCUUGGAGAUUCCUUCACCGAACCCCUGAGUGGGAAAAUUGCCCGGGUACAUGGAGCUCACCUCCGGCAAGACAAGGUGCUGCCCCACAGUGGAAGUUAUCAAGCAGUGUUGGAAGCUGACUGGCUGGUAUCACAGACCCAUGUGGUGAACACUCUAAAGCAGUUCAAGGCAUCUGUUUUGGAAGAUACCUGUCUAGUAGCAGACAGAUUAGCAGCACUAAAGGCUUCAGUAGAAGAUAUGAAGAAGUCUUUCACCACUAGGUUUUAUCAUGCAAUACAUUGCUUGCAAAGCCUGGAGAAAAAACGGGAAAUAGCUUCAAGCCUCAAGAGUAAUGGUGGUAAACUGGGUAUGAUCAAAUAUCCUGGCACAGAGAUGUGGAUCCCUGCAGUGUUUGGAAUGAAAAUCCCAGAUCCUGGUGGGUCCAGUUUGAUGGUGCCAAUUCUGGGAAUAGACUGUGACUGGAAUAGCAGGCAGCCUUCCCCACUCGCAGGAACCAUGGAAGAUAGACAUGGACAAGGCCUUGUCCCCAUCACAAUUGGUGCCAAAACCAUAAGUCCAAUUACAGGUGAAAUUGGGCCUGUUAUAGGUGCUCAGACCAACCCCUGGACACACAAUGUAAUUCCCACUGUUCAGUCUCUUGGAGCUUUACCCAGAAGAGCUACAGAUCCAGAUCUGCUGGACUUUCUAGAAAAGGAAAUAAAUUCAAGGCGUAUAUACUGGCAUAGCAGAAGAAAAAAGGAAGAAGGGCUUCUUAAAAAGCUGAAUUCUCUAUUUCUUCAUGUUCUUGAUGCUGCAAAAGAGGGGAAGGCACAGAAGAUAAAAUACAAGGAAAAAGUGAAAGACAUUGAGGAAAUGUGCCACUUUCUUAAAGGAUCCUCUCUGCAGGAAGCUGAGAGACGAACCUCAAAAUAUUUUAGUAGCCAACUGGCCACCGAACUCUCCUUGCUCUUCAAAGCCGACAGAGAUGAAAGAGAACAGGAAAUGCAGGUUCUGUUGGAGAUCAGAAAGGCGCUGGAGAAGCUGAUGGAGUUUGCUGAAAAGAUGCAACUAGAAGAAGAACGAAUAUAUAUGCAGCUAAUAGAGAGAGAAAAGCACAGGAGCCACAUCUCAAGCACCGAGACAGUGACAAACCUGGAGCUCAGAAAGGUCGUGCUUGCCCUAGCCUCCGAGUCUCAGGAACAUGUACUGAAACAACAAGCUAGUGUGGAGACUGCGUACAGCAAACUGGAAUAUUUGAGGGACCUGUCAAACAUCCAAACACAGCAGACAAAGGCAUUUUUCUCUGGGUCACAACAAUGUUUUGAAAACUAUCAGACAACCAGAUUUUAUGGCAUUAGUGGGAUCUCACGUAGUACAUGCAAGGUCAUCCAGCAAAACCUGAUCUCAUUACUCAAGUCUACGGUUCAGAUGCUGGAGGAAAAUAGCAAAAGCAGUGUAUCACCUGAGACAUCAGGCUACUCCUCAGGGAGCACUUUAAAAGCAUCUGCUGGUCAUUCAGAGACAUUAAGGGCUGAGGCAAGUCAAGAAACUGCUUCAGCUUCCAUAUUAUCACCUGCUCUGCCCACUUCAUAUUCAGAAAGGGCACUCCACGUACAACAAGAAAUCCAGACAAGGUUCUUCCUUGAGAAGCAUGCUUGUGAACUGGCACAUCUGGAACUGUCCUUAUUGAUGGAAGAAAUAAACACUAUCUUUUCCUUCUAUGAAUCAUCCAAGGCUAAGGAAAAGGAAUACCGUAAAGGAAAUUGGGUAAGGUUGGCAUUGCAUCAGCUUAGAGUUCUCAGCUGGUACCCAGGAAAAGAAAG